UCUUUCUCCCUCUCUCACUCUUAUCCCGUUUUAUAUUUCUUUUAACACCACAAUACAUUUCUCUCUCUUCGACGAUGGCUCCCGCCAGAAAGAAUUCUCUCCUCCUCUCACCAAGACAUAUAUCAUUCCACCGUUUCUAUUAUUAGUUUCUGUCCUCCCGCAACCACACACCAACCCCUUCAUCCCCUCCUGGUUCUUUCGGAUUUUCCAAAAUCUCAAAGACUUCGCCUUGUAUUCUUGGUGAAGUGUAAGGGAAAUAACUUGCAGCACAUCCGGCCCACAUAAUGUUGUGCAAGCUGGACUCACGCAAUUUUCGUUUCUUUUAAUUACUUCCGCACAACAACACAACCACAUCACAAACUUUAUUUAUUUCUUCUUUUCUGAUUCCCUUAUUCUCCCAGCUUCAAUAUGAACCAAGGUACAGGAGAGAAAAUGCCCGUUAGGUAUCGAAUAUUAUCGGCUUUAUUCUAUGGAUGCAGUUCCUUUUUAAUUAUUGUCGUUAAUAAGAUGAUAUUAACCAACUUCAAUUUCCCUUCAUUUCAAUUUCUUGCUAUUGGACAGAUGGUGGCAUGUCUUUUAGUCUUAUUUAUUGGCAAAGAAUUAAAUAUCGUUAUAUUUCCAGAGUUUACAUCUGAUAUUUUUCGAAAGGUGUGUCCUUUGCCAAUUGUCUAUGUGGUAAAUCUAUUGUUUGGAUUAGGCGGCACCAAAAAAUUGAAUUUGCCCAUGUUCACUGUGCUGAGAAGAUUUUCAAUUCUAUUUACCAUGAUUUUAGAAUAUUUUAUAUUAAAAACCAGAGCCCAAACAUAUGUGCAACUUACAGUAUUCUUGAUGAUAUUUGGUGCCCUAGUAGCAGCAAGCUCUGAUUUGGCCUUUGACCUUAUAGGUUAUAUUUUUAUAUUUUUAAAUGAUUUCUUCACCGCUUUGAAUGGUGUUUAUACAAAAAAGAAAUUAGAUGCAAAGGAACUUGGAAAGAAUGGUUUGCUGUUCUACAAUAGUUUAUUUAUGCUUAUUCCAGCGACAAUAAUUGCAAAGUUUACUGGAGGUUUAGAAGAUAUAAUUUCUUUCCCACAUUGGUCCGAUCCUGUAUUUAUUGCUUGUUUCUUAAUGUCUUGUAUUAUGGGUUUUAUUCUUAACUUCUCCAUUGUUCUCUGUACAUCUUAUAACUCUGCUCUAACAACAACUAUUGUUGGUGUGAUUAAGUGUCCUUGGCAGUCUAAUGUACACCUACAUGACAUUUCGAAGUGUACCAGAUGCAACAAAAUCUUCAAAUCAGUUACAACGAGCUUAGUUCCAUUUAGUUAUUUAUUUGAAGGAUGUUUGAUGUCGUUUGACUGAAUCCCAGAAAUUGGUUGGAUGUCUUCUGGAAACCAAUGGACUUGUGUUAAAUUGAAAAUAUUUGACACUCACUACAAUAUUUAUUGAGCAAAUUAUAUUUUUCUUUCUUUUAAUUAAUUAUGUGCAGUAUUUUAAACAACUUUUCACGGCUUGUAAAUAUCUUUUAUAUCGAUGGAAACUGUUAUCGAAGAUUUUCAGUUCUUCAUUUUUAAAAUAGAUGUGAAGAGAAGCUGAUUUCAGCUUUUCUUUAAAAUAUAAUUUCAAACCUAUUUUCACAAGUGAUAUGAAAGCAGGCCAUUCUAUGAGAUGAAAAUAAAUUCUAAAGACUCUUGAAAUGUGAGAUAUGUUGCGAGAAAGCCAUAUCAUGACAAAGAGAAAACAUUGUUGUAAUUGUAUGUUUGAGAUAUGGAGAGAGAAAAAAAAUGACAGCUCUGAACAUGUAUAAAAAUGACAUCACUGUGUGUGUGUGCUUGUAAAAACAACUCUGUUCAUAUCAUUUCUUAUCGUUACUUUAUGAAUAAAAGACUUUUUAUAUUCUAAGAAAAACAUUUUGCUGUGGGUUUACCAUCCUAUUUCAGUGUUGUUGGCUGUCGUUCCAGUUUGAUUAAUUCUGUGAUGGCAAUCAAAAGUUAGUACUUUCAUUAAUUCUGUUGCCAUUCAUGGGGACAAUUUUUGCAUCAAAUUUUCAUAUUGAUAGUCAACUGUAGACUUGGAUUUGUCGUCAUCGUCAUCAUCACUAUUGACUAAUAAGCUUCAUCAAUGUUACAAAUGUAUAGACCCGCUUUGAUAUUAUUUACUUUAUGGUUGCCCCAGCCUGGGCCUGGUUGCCGUGUUGGCUAAAAUAAACAAAGAACACCUCCCAGACGAAUCUAAAACUCUUCAAUUCCUAAACACUUGCUUAUUUUUCAUUUGUUUUAAUCUUUGUUUUGAGUUCUCAAGUUCCAUGCCAUAUUAGUUUCUUCUGUGAACAACCAAUAAAAUAUUGAUUUUUCAUUGAUUCCAAUGGACGGCUGAUUGAUCUGUAUGACAUGGUUCCAUGGUUGAAUGGUUAACAAGUUUACUUCACUCUCAUGUGGUCCCAAGUUCAAUCUCACUGUUCUCUACUCGGAGUAAUCCUCUUUAACAUCAGCCUCAGAUCAACCUGCAGAUGGAAACUGUUUGGAAGCUCUUUCAAUGGAUUUUAGCUGUAAUUCAAAGAUUCAACCUUGUCAGAUACUGUGUCACACUGAUCCUUUCAGAGGAUUGCGUUAAGAGUACAAACGUCUGUGGAAUACUCAACCAUUUACACAAAAACACAAUACGUAGGGAGCAGCUCAGUUGAUCAUUUGACUAUACUCUCAUCAUCAUAACCAAAACAACAUCAUCUUCCAUAGCUGCAUUAGUGUGUGUGUAUGUGUGUGUGAGUAGCGACUUUGAGACCUCAGCUUGCUAGCCUUCAUCCAACAAAAGCUACCAGACUGAAACUUUGCAGUUACUGUCGACCCUCCUUUUGUGAACAUGUAUUCUACAAAAAAGUAAACAAAUACCAGUUUGAAGUUAAUUCGUUUUUAUUGUCACUUGACAUUUAGAUAUAUCUAUCUAUAUUAUAUAGAUAUGUACACACACACACACACACACACAUAUACACCUGAUCUCAAAGAACAACAAAUGUUCUUCUCUCUCUUUUUUUCCUUUCUCCAUGGCAUAAUGAAUUAUAAAAUUAUCAGAACUGCUGAAAAUAAGGAAAUAAAUCUAUAUUUCAAUUUA